CACCAAUGGGCUUGCAUAUUGCUAAUCUCACUUCUGAGCUGGUAAGGUCAGCUCUGAGGGAAGCUUCACUACUGGUGGUUUUGAGUCUGGGGAGAAGAUCCUCACCAUGCCUCUGGCUCUUCCUACAUGCCUUGACCUUCCUUGUUGGGUGGAGAACUCUCUGGGCUCCUACACACAUGAACCAGGAAGUUACUUCCGGAAUAAAAUCGACUUCCUUUUAAAGAGCACCUAACAUCUAAUUAGCUUUGUGCUUAUUCCUCAGAGCAAGGCUAACACCAUUUUUCACAUUUUAAUACAGGACAUAUUUACUUGGAAGAACAUCCACUACAUAUUCUGUAUGUAGGAUGGAAGGGAGGUGGCAGGUCUACACUGUGGCUGCACUGGAUAGGAGCUUGUUCCUUCAGGAUUGCCAACCAAACAUUGUUCCCCAAGGCUGGAGGUAGAACAGUUGCCUAGGAUCUGCAAGGCCCUGGUUUUGAACACCAGCACUGCAAAAACAAAAAUGUUGUCAGUCAAAAAAAAAGAGCACAGAGCAGAGCUGCUGCUGCUUGGGACUAACUGGGUCACUUUGCCUAUGUGACCCUCUGCAACCAUGGCCCAAGGAGAAGAGUAGUUUGCAGUAAGGAAUGCUUUGGAACUGGCCAGCUGAUGCAGAUUUCUGAAAAGGUGCUUCCUGCUUCUGUUGACAGACCUCCAGGGGGAAAUUCAAGCAUCUAUAUUUAAUGCACCGUAAGGCAUUUUUGAUAUUUGUUCUGUGUUAGUAUAUAUUUGAAACUAGACUGUGCCUAGAAAGAGAAAAAAAUACAAUCAUGAUUUAAGGGCCAAUGGAACAAACAGAAUAAUAAAUAAAUAACUAUUUGAACAGACAGAUCACUAUAGAAAUCCACAACCAACAAAAAUGCAGAGCACCAUCCCAGUGGAUAUAUCUAUAAACAUUCAUGCACCUAAGGCUUAGGGAACAAUGUGGAAGAUGGGGCUGGAAGACUAUAAAAGCAGGAGAAUCAGGGAGUUUCCUGUGAGAUUGGUUCCCCCAGUAAUGCUAGCGCUAUAGCUGUAAAAUUUCACCAACAUGAGUGACCAAGCAUGAGCUGAAUGAGUGGGACACCAAUAGAUGUCCUGCUAGAUGGAGAAAAGCCCACGAAGCUCCGACCCUACACAAAGAGCUACAGGCACUGAACAAAGCUGGGAACUGGAGAGGUGUUCCCUAGGGAAAAACAGAGCAAUUGAUUAUCUAGUGCCAAAUGGCCAAUCCUGAAAACAUACAUGCAAGUAACAGGUUGUAUAUAGGAUGACCAUGCAUUUGAAGGAGAUCAGAGAGGAGUAAAUGAGAAGGUUUCCACAGAGGAAAGUGAAUCAAGAAAUGUUAUUAUAAUAUAAUCUCAAAACAUUUUUAAAAUGUCUUUAAAAGUUAAGACUUAAAAAGAGAUAUACCAAAUGACCCGUUGAAGUGAUUACUUGUGGAAACCCUCAAGGCCAUAUGCCUAUGGAUUACACAGUAGCAAACCUUCUUUUGGACAACAGUGGGAGUCAGGGAGCUGAGAGGACUGAUGGAUUGUCUUCUCCUUUAGGUAUUGCAUGAAAUCAAUCAGUCCAAAAGAGGGCAUGAUCAGUCUAUCUUAUUCUUACUUUGAGUCAUCUUAUAGUUUAGUUUCUCUGGAGUAGGAGUCAUGUCUGAGUCAUGAUUAUAUCUGCACAGGAUAUUUAUCAUACACUGAGCACUAGAUGAAAAUGCAGUAACUUAAGUGACACAAAAUGAGACUCUAAGCACAUGGCACACACACACACACACACAUUCACAUACACAGGUAUUUGUACCACAGCCCGUGUAUGGAAACCAGAAAAACAAUUUGUGGCAGUCAGUUUUCUCCUUAAACCAUCAGUCCUGGAGAAUGAACUCAGGCCAUCAAUCUUAGUAGAAAGUGCUUUCACCUCCUGAGCCAUCUCACUGACAAUAAUAAAUAAAAUAAAAUUUUAAAGAAAGUUCCAAGCAAUACAGAUAUAUUUCAGUGAUGGUCAUGCCAACUGAGAUAAUAAAGCAUGGUAUGGUAUUAUUUUAUUGAUAUAGAAAAAAAUCUCUUAAAAUGUAUUUGUGAAAUAAUUUUUAAUCUUCUUGGACAAAAACAGCUUUUUGAGAAUUAUUUCAUCUUUGACUUAAAUAUACAUAAUAUUUCUUAAACAUACACACUCAGUGGAUAUACAACUUAUUUUUUUCUUGUUCUGUCUUUUAUUUCCUAAACAAAAUUGACUCUCUGGAUAUUAUAGCUAUCUAACAUUGGUUGAGAACUCCACAGGUCAAUAUGUGAAGAUAGCACAUUUUGGGGAACUCAUCAAUGUUCAACCCCCAAUUCAGAUGUAGCUGAUAGUCUUGUGUUUAUCUUGUGCAUGUCAAGACUUAGCUAUAUCUGCAAGGAUGCAGUGUCUCUGAGCUCAACUUAGACAAUCAAAGCUAAAGUUAAAUACCAAACUUAGGUUUAUAACAAGACACAGGAUAGAGUCCCUUUGAGUAUAGUAAUAUAACCACCUCAUUUACAGACACAGACACCCUUAAAACUGUACAAAAGUUAUUUUUAACAACUAAGAAAUUUCAAACGUUGAAGCAGUAGAAAUUGAAUCAGGCUUAAAUAGCAACAAGACAGGAAUGGCAUGGAAAGUUUUGAGACACAGAUAAUAGAAUUGACAGAUUUUUAUAAGGUAGUCCUUUAGAUGAAGGAGAGGAGAAAGAUUAUAGGUGCAGUGAUUCACUUCAUGAAUGGAUACUGGUAAGAUUAACUGACAGCAGGAGAAUGAGAAGAGAAAGGUGUGUGAAGCUAAGAAGAAAGAAGAUUGGGAAGAGAGUGUCAUUUGAGAUGUGUCUGAGGUGUGUGUAGACAUCUAAGUAAAGAUAGACAUUAAACAGCAAAUCAUUAAUCCAAUAAGGAAAUGGGAUUGAGAUAUAAUAUCUGAAAUAUUAUCAUAUAGGAAGCCAGUGAAGCCAUGACUAGGUAGAAGAUCAUUCUAAAAGACAUUGUAGAAUAAGAAGAAAAACAGAGAUAAAAUGGCUCUCUGCACACUCAGGUUGUUCUUAAGAGGUAUUAUCUUGUUGAAACAUAAGACAUCAAAUGUGUCGCUUGAUAGCACUGGGUGGUGGCAUUUCAACAACGGCAUAAUGCUAGCAUGGUUGUAAGUCAUUUUGCUUUCUAAACCCUUCAAAUGUUCUUUUGCUACAGUGUGGUUUCCUUAAGUUACCACAUGCUGGCUUCUUGAGUAGAUAGGGCUGGUUGGUUUCACUUUAUAUCACACAAACAAGCAUGCAGCAUGGGGUUCAGUCUUCUUAACCACUGUGCCAAUUGUAUAUUCAUGUUUUAACAACAGUGUAGACCUGUGUACUCAAGUAAUUCAAUUAUAAUUAUGGGACCCAACUAAUUUGUAGUAGAUAAAAAUCAGAAAAUGACAGAUAUUGUUCAUUGAUAUGCUUGCUUUCUGCACAGUUUUUCUGGAACAAUUAUCUAAGAAUAACUGAUUUGAGACUUGGCUUUGUUUUCUCUCAUUGAGUGUGCAUGGAGUAUGAGUGCACAGGAUAGCAGUUUAUUAUUCUCAUCUUACUACCUGUUCGCAUGAUCUCACUUGGAGUCUGGAGCCAGGCUGGCAGUCAGCAAUCCCCAACAAAUCCAUUGGAUCCAGCCCUGUGUUGCUAGCAUCAUGGGCUCACAUGCACACGCCCAGUUUUCACAUGGUUGGGAUCCAAAUUCAGGUCCUGAAGCUUGAGCAGUUUAACCUACUGAGCCGUCUCCUCAGCUGCCCAUCUUUUUUUCUAAUAUUGGAUGAUCACAAACUCUGACUUUAAGAGCUCAAUAAUUCCUCCAUAAUCUAUCUGUUCUCUAUCAAUUACACAAGGUGUUCUGCUGACUUCAAAUUCUAUCUCAAACUUUACUAAAGUCAGAACAUUCCAUGCAUGUCUCAUGAUGAUCAGGUUAAACUAAACCUUUGACCCACAAAGAAAACCAUCUCUACCGGGCAUAGUAUUAUAUGUAAUUUUAAAUAUAUGUAAUUUUAAACUGUCUUCUGAGGCUAGAAUCAUUAUAAUAGCUGCUAAAUACUGUUAUAAGCUUGGAUUGUUUGCUUUUUUUAAAAUAUAAAGUUUAAGAGAUGCAACUUGUUUCAGAAGCUAAUCUGUCUACCCUUCUUAUUCCUAGUGGUUGAAGGUAGGGGUACAACCUAACUGCUCUUUCAAAAUUGAAGGCCUUAUGAACAUUUCUAAUCCAGUGCAACUUCACAUAUAGAGAAAUAAUUUCCAUCUAUGUUCUCAGGUGUUAUGACAAUCUCUGUUAGAAAGUCACAAGUCUUCUGCCUCAACUACAAUACUAUAAGUGCUGUGACUUAAUAUGUGCCUAUUUUGAAGUCAAUAAUUGUUUGCAAAGGAAGAAACUAUGCUCACUGUGCUGAUGUAGACAGAAUCUACAUCCAUAAUAUACAAUGUUCUAUAAAUGCCCACGGCUCCAAAAACAAAACAAAAAGCAUGCACUUUCAGGCUAUUUAAGGCAAGAACUGAGUCUCAAAGUCGUAAACUCUUGGAAUGUUCAGAAACCCAAAUCAGAAAUGCUUAAAGUAUCUUAAUGAAUGUGUAUCUAAUAAAAAUGUGGAAGUAGAUUAAAUUUCAAAAUUUGUCUUAAAUAUGGAGAUUUGGAAAAAUUCUAAAUGGGUACAGGUAAAAAUUAUUAAAUUGCUUAUUAUGUUUAAGAGAAGUCUUCUUUCCACAAUAAACAAGAGAAAACUCCCACUACCCCUAUAUUCCAAAUGACUUGAUUUAUUUCAUUGGGCAUGGAUCUUCUGUUAUGGAAUUGCAGGGGGCUUGGUGAACAAUGGUGGCAACUGUCAUGGGACCUGAAGCUUCAAGAUUUUCUUUUUUUUAUUAUAUAUUUUUAUUUUCUAUAUUCAUUGUUUACAUUCCAAAUGAUUUCCCCUUUCCCAGUUCCCCCCUCCCCAUAUCUCCCAUAAAACUUCUCUCCACCCAUUCUCCAAUCACCUCUUUCCUUUUUCUCUGUCCUGAUACUCCCCUCCAAUGCUAGAUCAAGCCUUUCCAGGAUCAGGUCCCUCUCCUUACUUCUUCAUGGGAGUCAUUUGUUAUGCUAAUUGUGCCUUGGGUAUUCAGAGCUUCUGGGCUAAUUAAUAUCCACUUAUCAGAGAUUGCAUUCCAUGUGAUUUUGUGAUUGGGUUACCUCACUUAGGAUGGUAUUUUCCAGAUCCAACCAUUUGCCUAAAAAUUUUGUGAAUUCGUUGAUUUUAAUUGCUGAGUAGUAUUCCAUUGUGUAAAUAUACCACAUUUUCUGUAUCCAUUCCUCCACUGAGGGACAUCUGGGUUCUUUCCAGCUUCUGGCUAUUAUAAAUAAGGCUGCUAUGAACAUAAUGGAGCAUGUGUCUUUAUUGCAUGCUGGGGAAUCCUUUGGGUAUAUGCCCAGGAGAGGUAUAGUAGGGUCCUCCAUAAGUGUCAUGUCCAGUUUUCUGAGGAACCACCAGACUGAUUUCCAAAGUGGUUGCACCAUCUUACAACCCCACCAGCAGUGGCGGAGUGUUCCUCUUUCUCCACAUCCUCGCCAACACCUGCUGUCUCUUGAGUUUUUAACCUUAGCCAUUCUGACUGGUAUGAGGUGAAAUCUCAGGGUUGUUUUGAUUUGCAUUUCCCUAAUGACUAAUGAUGUUGAGCAUUUCUUAAGGUACUUCUCGGCCAUCUGAAUUUCUUCAGGUGAAAAUUCUUUGUUUA